rnacentral:rRNA from 1 species
UACGUAGGGGGCAAGCGUUAUCCGGAUUUAUUGGGCGUAAAGAGCUCGUAGGCGGCCGUUCGCGUCGGAUGUGAAAGCUCAGGGCUCAACCCUGAGACGCCAUUCGAUACGGGACGGCUAGAGGUAGGUAGGGGAAAGUGGAAUUCCUGGUGUAGCGGUGAAAUGCGCAGAUAUCAGGAGGAACACCGGUGGCGAAGGCGGCUUUCUGGGCCUUACCUGACGCUGAGGAGCGAAAGCUGGGGGAGCAAACAGG